UACGAAGGGGGCUAGCGUUGUUCGGAAUCACUGGGCGUAAAGCGUAUGCAGGCGGAUCGUUAAGUCGGGGGGUGAAAUGCCGAGGCUCAACCUCGGAACUGCCUUCGAUACUGCCGUGCUUGAGGACUGGAGAGGAGACUGGAAUUUACGGUGUAGCGGUGAAAUGCGUAGAUAUCGGGAGGAACACCUGUGGCGAAAGCGGACGCACUGGACCACAACUGACGCUGGAGGCGACGAAAGCUAGGGGAGCAAACAGG
rnacentral:rRNA from 1 species